GGAUCUCUGCAUAUAACUAAUGGCUUCUGCUUUUGUAUUUUUAUGAGAUUUCUGUGUAUGUGGAAACAGGUCUGUCUUACAGUACAGAGAAAGAAAAUGCCUGUAAUGAUGGAACACACCUCCAUCUCUAUUCUUUAUUCCACGAGGAAUGUCCAACACAGAGGAUGGAGUAGUCAUAGUUAUGUUUCACAUAGCAAAGAAGAUUUCUUCAAGAUGGAAACUUGACAUGAGUAUCACAGUUGCCUGAAGGUCUGCCAGGAAGCAUCUAGAAAAGCUAAAGAC